rnacentral:snoRNA from 1 species
GCCAAAAUUAGAGUAACAUGCUGACACAGCUCUUGUCCAGGAAUACCAGAAUCCUUGGAGAAUCUGCUGGUAAAGAUUCACCCAUUAGUGCCCAGAUCAGAAACAUGC